AUGCAAGGUAUCUUUCUGCAUCUGGUGGCACUAUUUGUUAUUAAGUACAGAUCUUGCUCCAAGGAAGGGCUGAAUGGAAUACAAUGUGAAUGGAUUAGACACCAUGGAACCAGUGGAUGGUUGUGUUGGUGGAGGUUUAAGAAAAGGCUAACUCAUAUCCUAAGCUAUUUCUGUUCCUAGAAGACUAAGCAACUGCCCUUUUCAUGGUAGAAAUGGACCAUUUUAAUUGGCCCGACCUUGAGAUUGCCUCAAGGGAUGGUGCUAUAUUGAUGGCUCAGAAUUGAUCUCUUCUGCUGGGAGACUGUAUAUUCACUAUGCAAGUGGCGAUACCAGUCUUGGUAAGAAAAAACCACAUUGUUAGGUGCAUCUGUGUGUCUUCAUUCCUGCCAGGUAGCCAUUUUAUUAAUUGACACAUUUUAUUAGCCACAUUGCUAAGGAAAGGAACAGGCUGACGUUCACAGAAAGAGCCAUUCUGUCUCCUAAAUGAUUGAGAGCUUCUUCUGUGGAAUUUUGCUCUACUGAAUAUUAUUGAGAGACCUGAAGAUAUGAACACUUUGUGUCCAGUCCUGUAGAUUAGUUUGCAUAUCUAUUCCCAAAAAUUCAUGGUCAUUGAUGCUCCUAUUUUGUUUUUUGUAGACUGGUCAACAAAUAGUCAAGACAUUUACCACCUACCAGGUAUCUAUGUUUACAUCAAGCUACAUUUAUGUCUAUUAGAAUUAAAUGACCAAGAGUACUGCUAGCAGUUCUGUCUUCUGGGAUGAUUUCCCUUUACAACUGUUCUCUAGAAAUACCUCUGCAUCAUGUUGCAAUAACAGCUGCUAAUUUCUCAUCAGCAUGUACAUGCCAACUCAUUUGUGAGCUGAGCCUGAGUUGUUGUUCUUCCUUCCUCCUCCUUCUUCUUCUUUUCUUUUUUAAAGAUCUAUUUAUUUGAAAGGCAGAGUUACAGAAAGGCAGAGGCAGAAAGAGAGAGAGAGAGAGAGAGAGAGAGAGAGACCCUCCACCUGCUGGUUCACUCCCCAAAUACCUGCAAUAGCUGGAACUGGGCCAGUCUGAAGCCAGGAGCCUGGA
rnacentral:lncRNA from 1 species